AAGCAAGAAACAAUAAAUGUAUCUAGUUUCGACCUAGACUUAAGGUAAUAUAUACCCUUGCUUA
rnacentral:tRNA from 1 species